rnacentral:rRNA from 1 species
AUUGAACGCUGGCGGAAUGCUUUACACAUGCAAGUCGAACGGCAGCACGGGGGCAACCCUGGUGGCGAGUGGCGAACGGGUGAGUAAUACAUCGGAACGUGCCCAGUCGUGGGGGAUAACGUAGCGAAAGCUACGCUAAUACCGCAUACGAUCUCUGGAUGAAAGCGGGGGACCGCAAGGCCUCGCGCGAUUGGAGCGGCCGAUGGCAGAUUAGGUAGUUGGUGGGGUAAAGGCUCACCAAGCCGACGAUCUGUAGCUGGUCUGAGGGGACGAUCCGCCACACUGGGACUGAGACACGGCCCAGACUCCUACGGGAGGCAGCAGUGGGGGAAUUUUGGACAAUGGGCGCAAGCCUGAUCCAGCCAUGCCGCGUGAGUGAAGAAGGCCU